GUCCUAGCUGGACAGCUAAUCAAGGUGUAAUAAAAUUGCUUAUCUAUUAAACAAGGUGGACACUGUUCAGUUUAGAUAGCUCUGUGCCCUACAUGGGGUAUUGAUGCAAACUGCACUGUCUUCUAUGGAUCCUUUCAG